rnacentral:rRNA from 1 species
GAAGUACCUAGAGAAUAAGCUCCGGCUAACUCCGUGCCAGCAGCCGCGGUAAUACGGAGGGAGCUAGCGUUGUUCGGAAUCACUGGGCGUAAAGCGUGCGUAGGCGGUGACUCAAGUCAGAGGUGAAAGCCUGGAGCUCAACUCCAGAACUGCCUUUGAAACUAGGUCGCUAGAACAUCGGAGAGGUGAGUGGAAUUCCGAGUGUAGAGGUGAAAUUCGUAGAUAUUCGGAAGAACACCAGUGGCGAAGGCGGCUCACUGGACGAUUGUUGACGCUGAGGCACGAAAGCGUGGGGAGCAAACAGGAUUAGAUACCCUGGUAGUCCACGCCGUAAACGAUGAUAACUAGCUGUUCGGGCUCUACGAGCUUGAGUGGCGCAGCUAACGCAUUAAGUUAUCCGCCUGGGGAGUACGGUCGCAAGAUUAAAACUCAAAGGAAUUGACGGGGGCCUGCGCAAGCGGCGGAGCAUGUGGUUUAAUUCGAAGCAACGCGCAGAACCUUACCAGCGUUUGACAUCCUAAUCGCGGUUUUCAGAGAUGAUUACCUUCAGUUCGGCUGGAUUAGUGACAGGUGCUG